ACAAACACAGGGCUAUUAUGGGAUGUACACUGAUGCCUUCAGUGACGUGUGGUUCACAAGGAUGUUCUGCCCAUUUAACUUUGACUCUAAAGGCUUAUUCCGUAGGGUGAUCCCUCAGUGUGGAGUAGCUCUCAGUCCCUGGGCUCUACAGAAGAACCCCAUGUCCCUUGCCAAGAAGAUUGCUCGUAAGGUCGGCUGCUGGAGACCCGAUGAGGACCAGAUGUUGGCAUGUUUGAGGAUGAGCGACCCGGUCGGUCUCACCAUGGCGGGAAAGAUCGAUGUGAUGCUGAUUCUGGGUGAGAAGACUUGAUUGACAUCCCUUAACCUUCACCGCGUUCAACGACCUCCAUCUCCAUCCCCCUGCCGGUGUGGUCAUGGACCUUCUGGAGCUGGAUCCGGUGAUCGACUUCGUCCCCGAGGAGCCCAGCCGGCUGUUCCACUAUGCGACUGGCGUUGACUACAUGGCUGGCGUCAACAGCAUGGACGGACAUCUGUUUGCCGGCGUGGACGUCCCCUCCAUCAACAGCGGCUCCAAGACCCUCGCCUCAGACCCCCCCUUCUCUCCCAGUCUCGGCCCCACAACGCCGUACUGACUGUAGACCUCGAACGUGGCCACAAGGGGGCGAAAAACCAAUGAGGAAGGACAUGAGAAUAGGAGGACACAAAGACAGGAAGGCGAGGGGACACAAGGAAACAAGAAUAGGAAAGCACAAGGACACAAGGGUAAGAGGGCAUGAGGAGAGGAGGACUCAAAGACAUAAGAACGGCACAAGGACAUCCUGACACAAGACGAGGAAGGAG